GUGACUACCACGAAUUCCUUUGUAGCCAUGUCAUUGAAGAAGAGUAUGCCAAUUACUGCGAGGAACUAUUCAAGCAACUACAGUGGAUGGAAGGUUAUCUAGAUGCUCGCCGGCCAUCUUAUAUGUGGGACUGCAUAUCCUCCCGGGGAGCUUUCCAAGCAAUGAAGAUCGCUGCUACUACCUUCCCGAAGAUCAGCGCGUCUUUAGC